rnacentral:rRNA from 1 species
AUUGAACGCUGGCGGCAUGCCUUACACAUGCAAGUCGAACGGUAACGGGCCUUCGGGUGCCGACGAGUGGCGAACGGGUGAGUAAUGUAUCGGAACGUACCUUUCAGUGGGGGAUAACGUAGCGAAAGUUACGCUAAUACCGCAUAUUCUGUGCGCAGGAAAGCAGGGGAUCGCAAGACCUUGCGCUGAUUGAGCGGCCGAUAUCAGAUUAGCUAGUUGGUGAGGUAAAGGCUCACCAAGGCGACGAUCUGUAGCGGGUCUGAGAGGAUGAUCCGCCAAACUGGAACUGAGACACGGUCCAGACUCCUACGGGAGGCAGCGGUGGGGAAUUUUGGACAAUGGGGGCAACCCUGAUCCAGCCAUGCCGCGUGAGUGAAGAAGGCCUUCGGGUUGUAAAGCUCUUUCGGCCGGGAAGAAAUCGUAUCAGCUAAUACCUGGUGCGGAUGACGGUACCGGCAUAAGAAGCACCGGCUAACUACGUGCCAGCCGCCGCGGUAACAC